CUCGUGUGAGCACACACACAUGCACGAACACAGCAACUUCUGCAAGGCGAGCAGUCUUUGAAAUGGCAAAGUUGAACUUGUAAUUAUAAUUUACUUCUCCAGGCAUCUCAAAAAGCUGGCACCACCACCCACAGAGGAGAUGACCUCUGGCAUACAGUAGAUAUUCAGCUAAUUUUUGGCCUGUGUUCUUGAAAUGGUUGCUCAGAAGACAGCCUGUAGACUAAACAAAAUCUGUGGAAUCUGUUGCACUACUUAAACAAAUGAAACAACUGGUACUUAAAAAGGCAACAGGUGACCGGCAAAUGGCUGCUGACUCCCCUUGUAAUGUGCAGCUAAUUUAAGUGCCAGAGAUAACACAGAGGUGAGGACUAACUUCAGGUGAGGUCUAAGCAGACCCCUACCUCCAGCAAAACACCCAUGUCCAUUCCAGAUUCCUGAAAAGCCAUGCUCACUGCAGCUGCAGGUAAAGGCUGUGAAGGUGUGUAAUUCAGUAGCUGUUGCACUGAGGUUCUUUCAGCUUACUCUACCUCACCCACUGGCAAGGUCACCUC